rnacentral:rRNA from 1 species
AUUGAACGCUGGCGGCAGGCCUAACACAUGCAAGUCGAGCGGAUGAAGGGAGCUUGCUCCUGGAUUCAGCGGCGGACGGGUGAGUAAUGCCUAGGAAUCUGCCUGGUAGUGGGGGAUAACGUCCGGAAACGGGCGCUAAUACCGCAUACGUCCUGAGGGAGAAAGUGGGGGAUCUUCGGACCUCACGCUAUCAGAUGAGCCUAGGUCGGAUUAGCUAGUUGGUGGGGUAAAGGCCUACCAAGGCGACGAUCCGUAACUGGUCUGAGAGGAUGAUCAGUCACACUUGAAACUGGAAACGGUCCAGACUUCUAAGAGAGGCCGCAGUUGGGAAUAUUUGACCAUGGGGGGAAGCCUUAUUCAGCCCAGGCCGGGGUGGGAAGAAGGUCUUCGGAUUGUAAAGCACCUUUAGGUGGGAGGAAGGGCAGUAAGUUAAUACCUUGCUGUUUUGACGUUACCAACAGAAUAAGCACCGGCUAACUUCGUG